rnacentral:lncRNA from 1 species
AGAGUGAUAUGGAUUCAAAUCAGGCUGUGUGUAGAUUUGGCACCAUGUCUUGUUUUGGGUCCUAACAUGCUCUUCUGCCUCCUCUAUGUUGUGCCACAUGUCACACACUCUGCUAUUCUGUGUAUAGGUGAUCUCACUUUUCAAUAUUCCCCUCUGUGGAAGCUUAGCUGUGCCUUCCUCCUCUCUUUGGAAUAGAAACUGUGUGUCCAUCCUUUGACCAUUUUUCAAACCUUGGUUACAAUUUCUUUUCUGCUGACAUCCCUUCAACUGGUCAUUUGUUCUUUGAGGCUAAAAUAUCUUAAAUUCCUUUGCUGUCUUUUGAUGGAAUUGAAGAUACAGUCUUAUGUCCAUAUCAGUCUAUUGUGUUCAGUCUGCUUUGCUGCAUGUUGAAGACCUCUUCUGACUCUUGUUCUGUUAAACUCUAGUUCCUGCUCACUUUGAUCCUGCGUGACCUCAAGUAAAGCACUCAGACUCUCUGGGCUUCAGUUGCUCACCUGUAAACAAAGCAAGCGCCUGUUUUGUUAAUUUUGUGUUGCCGGGUGGCUGAAAUGGGACUGGGUAUGUAAGCGUGCUCUGGAAAAAAACAAAGUGGGAUGAAAAUUAAAAGCACCAGGAGUAAAACUAAGAAAUAGAGAGAACUUCUCUUUACAAAUGACCGAGAGCCCCAUCUUCUCGAAUAUCCUGGCUUCCCCUGUGUUGAUGUGCGCAGAAUACACAUGGGGGUGUGCAGCUAAUAACAGUCUACUUGUUUUGAUCCGAAUUUCUUUUUCUCUCACUUCAGCACAGCUCAUCUUAGCAUGCCUUUUGGUUUCACCACCCCCACCCCCAUCAUCCUUGACUACUUCGACGAAGGUAUAGGAUGUCUCUAGUGUUCUUUGGUCUCAGUUUGAGCCCUCUCUUGAAAAAUUUUCUACUUAAUUGCAAAUUUAUGUCCUAAUGCUAUAAAUCCCUGUCCUCCUACAUUGUGUGGUGUGUUAUAUUACUUGUAUAAAUCAAAGAAAACAGUCGAGAGAAAUAAAAAUGAAAUUUUAAACACAGCCAUCAUUUUAUAACAAAUUGCAGCUUGCUGGACUCUGUGGUGUUAGAAGGCUGGACCUUCACAAUGGAUUGUUGUGAGGUUGAAAUGGACAGUAGGAGGAAGGGCUUUGUCAACCGUUAAGGUCUCUAACAAAUGUAAGGACUUGCUGUCAUCAUUGUCCAUCUCUCUGGGCUUCAGUUUGCUUGUGUGUGAGGUGGGUUGUUGAGAGUCCUAGUUCUGCUCUGGUGGUUUGAGCUCACGACAGUUUCACUCUCCUGCUGGUUGCAACUAACACCUCAGGACAAAAUUUUUAAAAUAGCUACCUGAAGACUCUGAAAAGCCUUGUAUGUAGUUGAACCAGGCAGUCAGCUACAUGGUGUAAUUGGAGAGGGAUACCAAAUACUCUGCAGCCCUACCGACCUGUUCUAUAGGUUUCUGUCCAGUUCCUGAAAAUCUUUCUUGGAGGUUAACUUCUAGGUAUAAGGAAAUAAAAUGCCAAUAUUCCUUGGAAUGUUGACACCUCUGGAUGCUCCUAUUAAUAUUUCAUUAUAAAUUAGUUCAGCCGGGGGGACCUGAAUCCUGUGAACAGACCCAGAUAUGGGCACAAUGAUACCUGUCCUGUGAAGCAAACUCGACAAUAGGAUCCUGCUCAUGCAUCUAGGUGGGAAAUGCAACAAGAUUUAAAAGUCUCAGAAGUAACAUUGUUCAAGUACAAAUUGGUAGCUCCAUNNNNNNNNNNNNNNNNNNNNNNNNNNNNNNNNNNNNNNNAAAUUUAAAUUUUGCUAAAAUAAAAAUGGGGUUUUACUCUCUUGCUACUCUAGCCUUGGAAAGUUGGAAGUUUCUCCAUGAAAAGGGAGAAUUUAAAGAAUCCUAGAGCUUCCAAACUUUAGAUAAGAAUUAAGGUAUUUUUUAUGAUAAUGUCUAAUAAUACUGUUUUAUGUUUUUGUAACUCAAAAUAGUUUUAUGCCCUCUCCAUAUUAAAAAUAACGGUAUUAACCAACAUUUCUCGUCUUUAUCUUUUCUGUCAGAAAAAUGUUGAGGUGGCCUUUAUGUUACUUUUUUAUAUUUAUUUUUUAUUAUAGUUCAUUUCAAUGUGGUGACAACUUCUGGUGUACAGCAAAGUGACCCAUACAUAUAUACACAUUCCUUUCCUUAUAUUAUCUUCUGUCGUGGUCUUUCCCAAGAGAUUGGAUAUAGUUCCUUGUGCCAUAUAGUAGUAUCUCAUUGUCUUUCCAUCCUAAACCUAAUAGUUUGUAUCUACAAACUCCCAGUUCAUCCCACUUCUUCCCCCUUCUCCCUUGGAAACCACAAGUCUGUUCUUUACGUCUGUGAGCGUGUUUCUGUUCUGUAGAUUGGUUCAUUUGUGCCAUAUUUUGGACUCUACAUAUAAAUGAGGAGUCAUUUGCCAUGUUGCUGCAAACGGCAUUAUUUCAUUGUUUUUUAUGGCUGGAUAGUAUUCCACUGUAUAUCUGUAGCACAUCUUCUUAAUCCAUUUGUCUGUCAAUGGACAUUCCAUGUCUUGGCUAUUGUGAAUAGUGCUGCAGUGAACAUAGGAAUGCAUGUAUCUUUUUGAAUUAUAGUCUUGUCCAUGUAUAUGCCCAGGAGUGGAACUGCUGGAUCAUAUGGUAGUUCUAUAUUUAGUUUUCUGAGGCAACUUCAUACUGUUUUUCACAGUGCCUGUUGUACCAAUUUACAUUUGAGAUGGAUUUUAUUAUUGAUUGGACUCACUGGAUAGCAUUUUGUUUCCCUAUUUGUGUUUGAAAAAGGAAAUAAAAGCUGAUCCAACAUGCAAAAAUCAAAAUCAUCCACCAUAUCAACAAGCUAAAGAGGAAAAAUGAUAGGAUCAUAUCCACUUAUAGGGAAAAAGCACUUGGAAAAAUCCAACAGCCAUCAUGAUAAAAGAAACUCUCAGCAAAUUAGGAAUGAGGGAAACUUCCUCAAGUUGAUAAAGCGCAUCAACAAGCAAUCUCCAGCAUGAAACAGUGUGGUUCAUGGUUUAGCAGCGCUUGCUAUUCCACCAGAGAAAUGUGUAACAGGGGUAGGGAUAGGGAAAGCAUUGUUUUGGGGAGACACUAAAAAUGGGGAGCAGAGCAUUUAAAUGCUGAUAAUGAGCAUUGGGUCAAAGUCAUACCAGAUUCAAGGUGGCUCCUGGCAAAGUUGUGGUAUUGGUGUUGCCCUCUUGUCCAUAGACAUAGCCAUGCCGAGACAUAAAGAAAAGAUGCCAAUGAGCACAUGAAGUGGAAGGGCCAGUUAGUCUGCUAGGUCUACUUAAUUGUCCCUUUUCAGGGUUGGUUUGGCUGAAGAAUUCUGCUUGUGUUGUCAGUAUUCAUAAGUACCAGCUAGAAAAUAGUAGCGAUUACACACAGGGUGUGACACUGGUGCCAGCAAAUAUUGGCCUAACAGUGUUCCCUUGUGAUAUGUCUGGUACAGCUAUGUCCUUCCUCCUUUAUGGUUUCUGUUACAGAAACUGUUGAAGAUUUUCCCCUGGAUUUUGAUUACUAUAUCUCUUGGUCUACCCUUCUAAAAUCUCAUCCUCAUUGGUCCAGAGGGAUGUUUCCAACUUGAAUAAAACUUGAAACCUUGUUUUCCUUCUUUAGUAUGAUUCAUAUACUGGCUUCCAAAUACUGCUGUGUGGUGACUUACACCAAAUCCAUAAUAUAUUUUACAGCAGGGCAGUCUCCUUUAAUGUAUCUUGUUUGUAGUAUUGCGUCAAGGUAUACAGGGAGUGCUGCAAUACCAAAAUUUUAGGAUAUCUACCAAAAUAUAAGCAUUAAAAACCAUAGGUGUGGCAAAUUUUCCUUAUCUGGAAAUCAGUUAUGUUGCAAGAGGAAAGAGUAGAUGGCUUUUUCCUGUCACUUCCAAAUUUAAGAAGACAGCUCUACACACUCCUUGGGGAUCUUCGGCAUGACUGAAUUUCAAGGCUUUGGUUUCAUUCGUGCUCCAUAAGUGACUACCAAGAUUCUGUCCUUAAUAUCUCAGUAUGAGAAUCAGCUGCAAUAACUCGGAGCUGUGCUAUCUGGCUUCUCAUGUUCCCAAGAUGGCAAGCAAAUGUAAUUUCCCCUUCACUAUUGAUUGACUUAAGACAAUCUUUAAAAACCUGUUAGGUUUAGUUUAGCCAUUGAAAAGACAGGUACAUAAACUAGAAAGUGAGCUUGCUACCAAAAGGCAUAUUUAAACUAAAAGGAAUAUGGGAACCCCUGUUUUAAAUCUGACACUCUCUCACAAACACACCAGAUGUUUUACAGACCAAAUUAUCUCUUGGUGCUGAAAUCUAGAUCUUCUGACAUCCAAAUAUUGCUAUUGCAAGUGUUGAAAUACUCCCAAGUUUAACAUGUGUAAGGAAACCAAACCUUUCUCCAGAUAAAACUAUGCAAUCUCAAACUAGCCAAAGAAUUAUGCUUUAUUACAGGGAUUGCAAAUGUGUGGUAAGGCAUAAAAAAAAUGCCACAUGACAUAAGGUAUUUAGGUUAUAGUUAACAUAUUUAUUUUCAGAGGUUCAACAACAUUAAUCCGUGACAGGUGUGGGGCCUAUGAUUUAAAACAAUUCUAUUUCAAGCCAUUCAUAUCACUGCUUAAGAGAUGACUUUAUUCUUCCCAGUUGCCAUAUGUCUUAACCAUACAAAUGAGAAAGAAAGGAACAUCUGGUCAACCAUUGUUGUCUUGCCUGUCUUGCAGGACACGUGGCACUGCAUGUGCUUUUCACCAGGUUCCUUUGGGAUGUCUGCAUGGUGGAUGGUUUAAUAUUUUACACAGCUGGUGAAUUUAAGACAUGCUAUCAAUCUUAGUUCAGCAGCAUCCUUACACCUUUGGGUUUUUAUUGGGCUUUUGGUGAUGAGCAAACAUUUGCACAUUUUUGGAUUGUGCAAACAUCUCUCUUAGAGCUCCAGGUGAGAGUGGCAUGUUUGUGUAACAACAUCUCUGUAUAAUUUGACAGUUUUUGGAUAGAGAUGUGGCUAAGGAAGAGACGGUUCUCUGGAAAUCCUGAGUUAGAAUUUUUUACUUUUUUCCUUUGUUUUAGGGCCACACCCGUGGCAUAGGGAAGUUCUCAGGCUAGGAGGUCAAAUCGGAGCUGUAGCUGCUGGCCUAUGCCACAACCACAGCAACUCGGGGUCUGAGCUGAGUCUGCAGCCUACACCACAGCUCA